rnacentral:rRNA from 1 species
CUCCUGGAAACGGGUGGUAAUGCCGGAUGCUCCAGUUGGAUGCAUGUCCUUCUGGGAAAGAUUCAUCGGUAUGGGAUGGGGUCGCGUCCUAUCAGCUUGAUGGCGGGGUAACGGCCCACCAUGGCUUCGACGGGUAGCCGGCCUGAGAGGGCGACCGGCCACAUUGGGACUGAGAUACGGCCCAGACUCCUACGGGAGGCAGCAGUGGGGAAUAUUGCACAAUGGGCGCAAGCCUGAUGCAGCGACGCCGCGUGCGGGAUGACGGCCUUCGGGUUGUAAACCGCUUUUGACUGGGAGCAAGCCCUUCGGGGUGAGUGUACCUUUCGAAUAAGCACCGGCUAACUACGUGCCAGCAGCCGCGGUAAUACGUAGGGUGCAAGCGUUAUCCGGAAUUAUUGGGCGUAAAGGGCUCGUAGGCGGUUCGUCGCGUCCGGUGUGAAAGUCCAUCGCUUAACGGUGGAUCCGCGCCGGGUACGGGCGGGCUUGAGUGCGGUAGGGGAGACUGGAAUUCCCGGUGUAACGGUGGAAUGUGUAGAUAUCGGGAAAGAACACC